rnacentral:rRNA from 1 species
CCAGGCUUGAACAGCGAGUGACCAACUCCGAAAGGGGUCUUCCGCAAGGACACUCGUAGAGGUGCUGCAUGGCUGUCGUCAGCUCGUGUCGUGAGAUGUUGGGUUAAGUCCCGCAACGAGCGCAACCCUUGUCAUCUGUUGCUAUCAGGUUAAGCUGGGCACUCUGAAGAGACUGCCGGUGAUAAACCGGAGGAAGGUGGGGAUGACGUCAAGUCAGCAUGGCCUUUAUGUCUGGGGCUACACACGUGCUACAAUGGCCGGUACAAACCGCCGCGAUACCGCAAGGUGGAGCUAAUCGGAGAAAGCCGGUCUCAGUUCGGAUAGCAGGCUGCAACUCGCCUGCUUGAAGUUGGAAUCGCUAGUAAUCGCGGAUCAGCACGCCGCGGUGAAUA